CCUACGGGUGGCAGCAGUGAGGAAUAUUGGUCAAUGGCCGCGAGCCUGAACCAGCCAAGUCGCGUGAGGGAAGACGGUCCUAUGGGUUGUACACCUCUUUUGUCGGGGAGCAAAAGGCGCCACGCGUGGCGUUGCGAGAGUACCCGAAGAAAAAGCAUCGGCUAACUCCGUGCCAGCAGCCGCGGUAAUACGGAGGAUGCGAGCGUUAUCCGGAUUUAUUGGGUUUAAAGGGUGCGCAGGCGGAAGGUCAAGUCAGCGGUAAAAUUGCGAGGCUCAACCUCGUCGAGCCGUUGAAACUGGUUUGCUUGAGUGCGCGAGAAGUAGGCGGAAUGCGUGGUGUAGCGGUGAAAUGCAUAGAUAUCACGCAGAACUCCGAUUGCGAAGGCAGCAUACCGGCGCGCAACUGACGCUCAUGCACGAAAGUGUGGGUAUCGAACAGGAUUAGAUACCCCAGUAGUC
rnacentral:rRNA from 1 species